AUGUGGAGCUAAGUUUUGAUGGCAAGCCACGAGCUCUUAGCACAAGGGCAUCGGAUGAGCAAAUGGGAGAUAGUCUCUUGCCUGGCUCUACAGAGGAGGCAUUUGAAUUUUUUUUCUCUGACUUUUUUUCUGCAGCACAUCACCUGUAUAAAGCUUAUUUUUAAGAGCCAAUCACAAGAAUAUUUUUACCUUUUCAGGUGCAGCGAUUCUCCAAAUUAUUUUAUGAAAUGACCACAGCAAUCCUCCACAAUUCAAAAAUUUGUAGAAGAAAUGAAUAGAGAAGGAAUCAUUGGAAAUAAGUUUUCAAACCGGCUGAUCAGAAC
rnacentral:lncRNA from 1 species